UUCUGGUUGAUCCUGCCGGACCUGACUGCUAUCGGAUUGAUACUAAGCCAUGCGAGUCGUUGUAGCAAUACAAGGCAUACGGCUCAGUAACGCGUAGUCAACCUAACCUAUGGACGGGAAUAACCUCGGGAAACUGAGAAUAAUGCCCGAUAGAACAUUAUGCCUGGAAUGGUUUAUGUUCCAAAUGAUUUAUCGCCAUAGGAUGGGACUGCGGCCUAUCAGUUUGUUGGUGAGGUAAUGGCCCACCAAGACUAUUACAGGUACGGGCUCUGAGAGGAGUAGCCCGGAGAUGGGUACUGAGACACGGACCCAGGCCCUAUGGGGCGCAGCAGGCGAGAAAACUUUGCAAUGUGCGAAAGCACGACAAGGUUAAUCCGAGUGAUUUCUGCUAAAGAGAUCUUUUGUUAGUCCUAGAAACACUAACGAAUAAGGGGUGGGCAAGUUCUGGUGUCAGCCGCCGCGGUAAAACCAGCACCUCAAGUGGUCAGGAUGAUUAUUGGGCCUAAAGCAUCCGUAGCCGGCUCUGUAAGUUUUCGGUUAAAUCUGUACGCUCAACGUACAGGCUGCCGGGAAUACUGCAGAACUAGGGAGUGGGAGAGGUAGACGGUACUCGGUAGGAAGUGGUAAAAUGCUUUGAUCUAUCGAUGACCACCUGUGGCGAAGGCGGUCUACCAGAACACGUCCGACGGUGAGGGAUGAAAGCUGGGGGAGCAAACCGGAUUAGAUACCCGGGUAGUCCCAGCUGUAAACUAUGCAAACUCAGUGAUGCAUUGGCUUGUGGCCAAUGCAGUGCUGCAGGGAAGCCGUUAAGUUUGCCGCCUGGGAAGUACGUACGCAAGUAUGAAACUUAAAGGAAUUGGCGGGGGAGCACCACAAGGGGUGAAGCCUGCGGUUCAAUUGGAGUCAACGCCGGG
rnacentral:rRNA from 1 species